CGAGAAAUGUAUUAAGCUACUGCUUUUAAAAAACAAUUGUUAAGUUAUUCUCAAACAAUUUAGUUAUACUUCAACGAAAACUUUAAUAGUAUCGGAGGAUAAAAUAUUCAACGACACACUUUUAAUUGAAAUUGAAGGUUUGAUAAACAAAGUUGCUAAUCUUAAAAACAAACUUAAUGAAGAACGACAACUGUACAACAAUACAAUUCAAUAUCAACAGCAAGUUGUUAAUAAUAUUCUUUACAGAUUAAUCUAAUACUGGUUGCUUGGGAUCUAUCCUAAGCAACCUGUAUUUUAUUUAACCUGUAGAGAGCUUUUUUUGCAUUAGUUAGAACAACAAAGAGAAAAAGUUAAUUCUGCUCUUAGGUUUAUUUUGUUAUUUGUAAAUUCAUUGUUUUAUGUUGUUACCGGUAACUGCAUUACAAGUAAACUCAUUCCAAAGUUUUAUACAUCGAACUUAAAACGUUUACCUGUCAACAAAAGUACAUCAUUUAAAUAAAUUAACUAUACUAUUUAAUUACUUUUUGACGUAAAAAUUCAACUUUGUUUACUAGCCAGUUUGACCUUUAAGCGAACAACAGCAUUUCCUAGUUAAAGUUUUAAAGCCAAUCUGGUAACAUAUGCACAAUGCCAUUGCUGGUGAAUAAGUUGGUACUUAUAUGCUAAUACUACGUUAACUAAAAUACUACGUUAGAUCAAAAUUAAAUCUACAAUUUAACAAUAAUAUUGACACAACUAAAUUUUAACCUAUUGAAGAGAAUAAAAUUGUUAUAAAGUCUUUUUAAAUUAUUGCAUAAUUAAGCUUUUAAUAAAUGGGAAAAUGGUUUUUGUUAGUUAGUAAUGAUAGCUACAACGCAACAUAGUUACGUGGAACACUAUAAUAAUUAAUAAUGUUCUAUAGUAGCUUCUGAUACAUUCCCAUCUUGUUUUUUAACUGAAUGGUCAACUUGGAAUUGUAAGUAAUCGGUUUGAAUGUUUUAUAGACUGUAUGUUUGCCAUAAAUUUAUGUUUUCGUUGACAUAAGCAAAUA